rnacentral:lncRNA from 1 species
CAUUACAUAAUGCAAGAACUUAUGGUAAUUUCAUCAGAGCAUAUUGGUAAAAGCUAAAGGAAUCAAAAUCUUCUGAAACAAAACAUUGUUCUCGUUUGUAACGGGAGAUUUAGCGUGCUUCUCUUUGAAACCAUCUUCACAAGUGACAGGUUCAUCCAAAGCAGCACUCAGAUGCAUAUUAGCACUUUUGUAAUCACUGGAUUUAACGUUCAUCAAAGCUUCUUUUAAAGAACCAUAAGCAUCGUCAUAAAGCUUUACGCAAGUGCGUAACGCGGGUUCAGUACUCGGUGCAUACUUUUUGCUCUUGAGAAUAGUCUCAACUAUCCCUUUCACGUUAAUUGUUUUGGAUGCAGCAUUAUUCGUUGCCGCUAGGACCAAUCCUGAUAGACUAGUUGCAGUUUUGCUUUGCGGAUCUUGUUCAAGUGAUUGGAUGCAAAAAUCAUACUUGAGAUUAGGGUCUUUUGCUGCAGCUGUUUUGCAGGAAUCUCGAAUCAAGGUUUGCGCGGCUGCGAAACAGUUUAGGAGGAGAAAGAACAUUACAACUGAAACGAAGAACUUCAUGCUUUUGUUUUCUUUGUGAGAGAUGAGAAUAUAUGAAUAUGAUGUUAACUUUGUGAUUCACGAGGCUGAUAUAUAUAUAUAUAUAUCUGACGUAAGGGUAUAUGUCAUUGUUUCCCGUUUUCUUGUGUGUUAUAAACUUAUUAUAAAAAGAAUAUUUCAGUUUUAGUAAGAAGAUACUAUUUCAUAUUAAAAACUCUGUUUACAUUUUUAAAAACUAUAAUAUAUUCACUUGGAUUAUUUCUCAAAUUGUCAAUUUAUCUGAACAUGGUCAACAUGUAACAGUAGUUUUCCAUAUAUACACGUCGUCAGAUUUAGUCAACUCUCAGAGCAUCAUUACUGGUUCAAUUUCUUAGUGGAGUACCUGAUGAGUUUAAUAUUAAUAGAGUUUUAUUGUGUAAUUAAAAUUAAAACCAAUAAUAUGUACAUAACCAUUCGUAAAGUAACAUGUGGCAAGAUGGAUUGUGUUGUACGUUUAUGAAAGCUUUCUAUUUUAUGAUCUCUAAGCUGGAGUUUUGAUGUUCUUUCUGGUCUUUUUAUUGUUGUAUCUGGUGAUGAUAUGAUACAAAAAGCCAAGAGGUAUGGGAUCUGCAUGUUUUCAAAUAGUGCAUAGGAAAAAACAGAGGUUCAGACAAGAGCUACAAGAAGGCUCACCUAAGAAAUAUAAGCCUUUGGCCGGAGCUUCUCACGCCAAAGGACUCGUCCUUGAGCUCAUGUAAGACAUAGAAUAUGCUUCUUUAUCUAUUUUUUUUGUGUGUGUGGACAUUGUUGAUGAUGAGCGAUUCUCUGUCUGUUUGAUUAUGCAGAGGAAUGUAGGCUAAGCAGCCAUGUUCUGGUAUAUGUAAGUGUACUAGAGUACAACUUGUCAAGAAUGGAAAGAAGAUUGCUGCUUUUGUCCCCAACGAUGGUUGUUUGAACCUCAUUGAGCCAAAUGUAAGCUGAAUGAAUAAAGCCUUUUGUAACCAUUUAUGAUUAGUUUUGUCAAAGGUUGAAUUCAUGUUUUGUGUUAUGUUGUUUGCAGGACGAGGUUUGAUAUCUGGAUUUGGGCGUAAGAGUCAUACUGUGGGAGAUAUUCCAGGCGUAAGGUACAAGGUCGUCAAGGUUUCUGGUGUUUUACUCUCUGCUCUCUACAAGGACAAGAAGGAGAAGCCAAGGUCUUAAAACAAAACCUUCAAAGCUUUGAAUUUUAUUUUUGAUGGCAUAAGCACUUUUCAGUAUUUUAGUUAAAUAAAAGAACUCUUGUGUUAUGUUCUACUUUGGGAUUCAGUAACUUGGUGUGUUAAAUCUUGUAUUCUGAUGACCAUUUGAGUUUUUAGUUUAUUCGACCUUAUAAUAUGUCACUGCCAAUGGCAUGGAAUUCUAUUACUAAUCCAAAACAAGUGAUACAUAUCACUACAUAAUGUACUCAUUCGUAAUCCUGGCAAUUAUAAGUCAUAAAGAUAAACAAAAGUCACACAGCCAGCUUACAAAUUGAAUAAGGUAGCCAAACAAGUUUAAGAUCACAUCAGUGACCAAUCAAAACAGACCAGAAACUAAACAGACCAUAUCUAAUAUACAUAAAUAAUUUUAUAAUCAAUUAUACAUUUUAACUCAUACAAAAUUUUAACAAUAAUCUAUUGUAAAAAUUAAAUUUAGUAAAACAUAAGAUAAUCCACUAAAAUAUAUAAAAUUAAGCAAAAAAAUUAUGUAAAUUUAUUUACAAGUUUGUUUCUUUUCUACUAACAAUAAAAAAAAAGAACAGGAUGGGUUUUUUUUAUCAUCCAACUACAGAAAAUCACAAAAUAAAUGAUGUAAUGCCACAUCAAAUUCUUAAUAUAUAAUUAAAACAUAGAUUACUUACCAAAAGAAAAUCAUCUUGAACCUUUUAACAAGAAAAAAAAAAUUCAAAAAUUUAAAAAAUCAUAACUAAUUUUUCAGAUAACAUGGUUUAUUUAGUUGUUCAUAUACAAUAACAUGCACAAAAUUUAACUAUUAUGUAUAUUUCUAAAUAAUAAAAAUUUAUAUUAAAUAUUUACUCUAGUUACUUAAUUUAUUUGUUAAUUUUCAUCCCGCAUUUAGGGCGGACCAGCCCUAGUAUAAUUAUAACAUACUGUAUUGAUUUUUUCCGCUAAGACAGUGGAGUAUUUAAAUUUUCUUUUUUUUGCAGAUAUUAUUUUUAGGGUCUUUUUGAAAAAAAAAUUUUCAAAUAAUAGCAAAUAUUUCCAAUGGAAUAAUUUUCCUUUGCUCUUAAAUUUAUUAUUAGGUAAACGAAAAUCCACAUUACAUAAUGCAAGAACUUAUGGUAAUUUCAUCAGAGCAUAUUGGUAAAAGCUAAAGGAAUCAAAAUCUUCUGAAACAAAACAUUGUUCUCGUUUGUAACGGGAGAUUUAGCGUGCUUCUCUUUGAAACCAUCUUCACAAGUGACAGGUUCAUCCAAAGCAGCACUCAGAUGCAUAUUAGCACUUUUGUAAUCACUGGAUUUAACGUUCAUCAAAGCUUCUUUUAAAGAACCAUAAGCAUCGUCAUAAAGCUUUACGCAAGUGCGUAACGCGGGUUCAGUACUCGGUGCAUACUUUUUGCUCUUGAGAAUAGUCUCAACUAUCCCUUUCACGUUAAUUGUUUUGGAUGCAGCAUUAUUCGUUGCCGCUAGGACCAAUCCUGAUAGACUAGUUGCAGUUUUGCUUUGCGGAUCUUGUUCAAGUGAUUGGAUGCAAAAAUCAUACUUGAGAUUAGGGUCUUUUGCUGCAGCUGUUUUGCAGGAAUCUCGAAUCAAGGUUUGCGCGGCUGCGAAACAGUUUAGGAGGAGAAAGAACAUUACAACUGAAACGAAGAACUUCAUGCUUUUGUUUUCUUUGUGAGAGAUGAGAAUAUAUGAAUAUGAUGUUAACUUUGUGAUUCACGAGGCUGAUAUAUAUAUAUAUAUAUCUGACGUAAGGGUAUAUGUCAUUGUUUCCCGUUUUCUUGUGUGUUAUAAACUUAUUAUAAAAAGAAUAUUUCAGUUUUAGUAAGAAGAUACUAUUUCAUAUUAAAAACUCUGUUUACAUUUUUAAAAACUAUAAUAUAUUCACUUGGAUUAUUUCUCAAAUUGUCAAUUUAUCUGAACAUGGUCAACAUGUAACAGUAGUUUUCCAUAUAUACACGUCGUCAGAUUUAGUCAACUCUCAGAGCAUCAUUACUGGUUCAAUUUCUUAGUGGAGUACCUGAUGAGUUUAAUAUUAAUAGAGUUUUAUUGUGUAAUUAAAAUUAAAACCAAUAAUAUGUACAUAACCAUUCGUAAAGUAACAUGUGGCAAAGUCUAUGUGCGACCAGACGUUUCUUCCCAUUUGACGCUCUCUCUCUUGCUUUAUUAAUUUUUUAUUAUUAUAAAUGUCAGUCUCAUGAGUUACUCUUCCACUGCAUGUGCUCUUAGCUUUCCAUAUCAUACAUAAAAUAUCAAAAAUGAGAUCUCUUCUACAGUUAUUAAAAAACAAAAAUAUACCUUUUAAUAUUGAUUUUCUCAAAAUCAUAUUUGAGAUUAGGGUCUUUUGCUGCAGCCGUUUUGCAAGAAUCUCGAAUCAAGGUUUGCGCGGCAGCGAAACAGUUUAAGAGUAGAAAAAACAUUACAACUGAAACGAAGAACUUCAUGCUUUUGUUUUCUUUGUUAGAGAUGAGAAGAGAUGACUACGAUGUUAACUUUGUGAUUCACGAGGCUGUUAUAUAUAUAUAUAUAUAUAUCUGAUGUAAGGGUAUAUAUUCUCCUUUCUUAUAUGUCAUUAUUUCCUGUUUUCUUGUUUGUUAUGAACUUAUCAUAAAAAAAAUAUUUCAGUUUUAAUAAGAAUAUACUAUUCCAUAUUAAGAACUCGAUUUAAAUUUUUAAAAAAUCAUAAUAUAUUCACUUUUAAGGAUUAUUUCUCAAAUUGUAAAAAUUUAUCUGAACUUGGUCAACAGGUAACAAUAGCUUUCCAUAUAUACACGUCAGAUUUAGUCAACUUUUAGACCAUCAUUAACCGGGGGUCUUAGCAAUAGGGUCCUUAGCAAAAACUAAUAAAAUAUUGGGUGGGUCUCACUAAUUUUUAAAAAUCGGGUCCCUAAGGUUGUGAUAUAAGGACAGACCUUCACUUGUUUUUUUUUUUGGUCUGGUAAAAAAAAAAAUUAGAAGGCGAACCAAAAAUAUAAAAAAAAAUGAGAUGUCUUCUACAAUUAUUAAAAAAACAAAAAUAUACCUUUUAAUAUUGAUUUUCUCAUCAAUUUUUCAUAUAGAGGUCGGCAUGCAAAAAUCCUAAAUCAAAAAAUGUGUAUUUACUAAAUAUUUAACUAACAUCUGUAUCAGGAAAAACUUUCAAUCUCAUUAUUUAUUCAUCACGCAAAAAAAUGAUCAGUACUACUCGUAAAAAACAGUGAUGUUGUGCAUUUUUAAAAAUAAAUAUUUAAUUAUUAAAAAAAUACAGACACUAUAGAAAAUUAAAUAAAAGUUUAAUUCCACAAAAACAAAAAAAAAUUGAAAAUUAAAAAAUAAAUCAAAAUAUUCAAACAAUUUUUCAAUAAGUAAAAAAAAGAUUGAAAACUGAAAAAGUUACAGAGAUAUUUUAAUUUUGAAAUUUGGCUAGAACCGAUAUGAACCAUCAUCAUUUUUUUUUAAAUAGGCCUAAAACAGUUUUAAUGAUUAACUAAAUUGGCUAUGUUGAAAACCGUCAACUCAUCGAUUUGUCAACGAUGUUAAGUCGAAAAUUGUGAUCAGAGACAUAAAGUAUUUUAAAUUUCUGUCUUUUUGCAAAUACUAUUUUAGUGUUUUAUAAUUUCAAAUAGUAGCAAAAAUUUCCAAUAAAAUAAAGUUCCUUUGCUAUUAUUUAUUAUUAGAUAAAGGAAAAUUCAUAGCACAUAAUACAAAAAGUUAUGGUAAUUUCAUCAGAGCAUAUUUGUAAAAGCUAAAGGAAUCAAAAUCUUCUGAAACAAAACAUUGUUCUCGUUUGUAACGGGAGAUUUCGCGUGCUUCUCUUUGAAACCAUCUUCACAAGUGCCCGGUUCAUCCAAAGCAGCACUCAGAUCCACAUUAGCACUUUUGUAAUCGCCGGAUUUAACGUUCAUCAAAGCUUCAUUUAAAGAAUUAUUAGCAUCGUCAUAAAGCUCUACGCAAGUGCUUAACGCAGGUUCAGUACCCGGUGGAUACGUUUUGCUCUUGAGAAUAGUCUCAACUAUCCCUUUCACGUUAGUUGUUUUGGACUCAGCGUUAGUAGUUGAUGCUAAGACCAAUCCUUUUAGACUAGUUGCGGUUUUGCUCUGUGGAUCUUGUUCAAGAGAUUGGACGCAAAAAUCAUAUUUGAGAGUAGGAUCUUUUGCUGCAGCUGUUUUGCAAGAAUCUCGAAUAAGAGUUUGCGCGGUAGCGAAACAGUUUAAGAAGAGAAAGAACAAUGCAACUGAAACGAAGAACUUCAUGUUUUAUUUUCGUUGUGAGAGAUGA